rnacentral:rRNA from 1 species
UACGUAGGGGGCAAGCGUUGUCCGGAAUCAUUGGGCGUAAAGCGCGCGUAGGCGGCCCGGUAAGUCCGCUGUGAAAGUCAAAGGCUCAACCUUUGAAUGCCGGUGGAUACUGCCAGGCUGGAGUCCGGAAGAGGCGAGUGGAAUUCCUGGUGUAGCGGUGAAAUGCGCAGAUAUCAGGAGGAACACCAAUGGCGAAGGCAGCACUCUGGGACGUGACUGACGCUGAGACGCGAAAGCGUGGGGAGCAAACAGG